rnacentral:misc_RNA from 1 species
GCUCAGCUCCUGUUCUUUCAGCUUAUCACUGGCAACACCUCCGUCACUGAUACAUGAUCUGACAUGAUGUGAUGGGGUUUGAGGUUGAUAUGCCCCGUUCUCGGCAUCUGAUACCAGCCUCGGUGAAACUUGAGCCACUGCAUCACCACUUCUACCAGAAUUGAAGUAGUUUGGCUUCAGUGCCAUAGGAAAAGGCAUCGCUUUAUUUGUCAUUUCAGGACGGUGAUCCAACGGUUUGAAGGCAGUAGCCGACCUCAUAUCAGAUUCUACUGGGUUCUGUGUACUUCCCGGAAUGGUUGGAGAGAG